rnacentral:rRNA from 1 species
ACGUGGUAGGGGAGCGUUCUGUAAGCCGAUGAAGGUGUGUUGAGAAGCAUGCUGGAGGUAUCAGAAGUGCGAAUGCUGACGUGAGUAACGACAAAACGGGUGAAAAACCCGUUCGCCGAAAGACCAAGGGUUCCAGUCCAACGUUAAUCGGGGCUGGGUGAGUCGACCCCUAAGGCGAGGCCGAAAGGCGUAGUCGAUGGGAAAAUGGUUAAUAUUCCAUUACUUCUGUGUAAUGCGAUGAGAGGACGGAGAAGGCUAAAUCAGCCUGGCGUUGGUUGUCCAGGUGAAAGGAUGUAGGCAUGUAUCUUAGGCAAAUCCGGGGUACUCUAUGCUGAGAUCUGAUAGCAAGCUGUACUUGUACAGCGAAGUGGUUGAUGCCAUGCUUCCAGGAAAAGUCUCUAAGCUUCAGUUACACAGGAAUCGUACCCGAAACCGACACAGGUGGUCAGGUCGAGUAGACCAAGGCGCUUGAGAGAACUCUGCUGAAGGAACUAGGCAAAAUGGUACCGUAACUUCGGGAGAAGGUACGCUGUUGUUGGUGAUGGAACUCGCUUCCUGAGCUGACGACAGCCGCAGAAACCAGGCCGCUGCAACUGUUUAUUAAAAACAUAGCACUCUGCAAACACGAAAGUGGACGUAUAGGGUGUGAUGCCUGCCCGGUGCUGGAAGGUUAAUUGAUGGGGUUAGCGUAAGCGAAGCUCUUGAUCGAAGCCCCAGUAAACGGCGGCCGUAACUAUAACGGUCCUAAGGUAGCGAAAUUCCUUGUCGGGUAAGUUCCGACCUGCACGAAUGGCAUAAUGAUGGCGGCGCUGUCUCCAGCAGAGGCUCAGUGAAAUCGAAAUCGCUGUGAAGAUGCAGUGUACCCGCGGCUAGACGGAAAGACCCCGUGAACCUUUACUGCAGCUUGACACUGAACUUUGACCUUACUUGUGUAGGAUAGGUGGGAGGCUUUGAAGCUGGAACGCUAGUUCCAGUGGAGCCGUCCUUGAAAUACCACCCUGGUAAUGUUGAGGUUCUAACUCUGUCCCGUGAUCCGGGACGAGGACCGUGUCUGGUGGGUAGUUUGACUGGGGCGGUCUCCUCCUAAAGAGUAACGGAGGAGUACGAAGGUGCGCUCAGCGUGGUCGGAAAUCACGCGUAGAGUAUAAAGGCAAAAGCGCGCUUAACUGCGAGACCCACAAGUCGAGCAGGUACGAAAGUAGGUCUUAGUGAUCCGGUGGUUCUGUAUGGAAGGGCCAUCGCUCAACGGAUAAAAGGUACUCUGGGGAUAACAGGCUGAUACCGCCCAAGAGUUCAUAUCGACGGCGGUGUUUGGCACCUCGAUGUCGGCUCAUCUCAUCCUGGGGCUGAAGCAGGUCCCAAGGGUAUGGCUGUUCGCCAUUUAAAGAGGUACGCGAGCUGGGUUUAGAACGUCGUGAGACAGUUCGGUCCCUAUCUACCGUGGGCGCUGGAAAUUUGAGAGGAUCUGCUCCUAGUACGAGAGGACCAGAGUGGACGAACCUCUGGUGUACCGGUUGUGACGCCAGUCGCAUCGCCGGGUAGCUAUGUUCGGAAGGGAUAACCGCUGAAAGCAUCUAAGCGGGAAGCCUACCUCAAGAUAAGAUUUCCCUAGGACUUUAUGUCCUCUAAAGAGCCGUUCGAGACUAGGACGUUGAUAGGUUGGAUGUGGAAGCAUAGUGAUAUGUGAAGCUGACCAAUACUAAUUGCUCGUGAGGCUUGACUA